rnacentral:rRNA from 1 species
GACGAACGCUGGCGGCGUGCUUAACACAUGCAAGUCGAACGAUGAACCCGGAGCUUGCUCCGGUGGAUUAGUGGCGAACGGGUGAGUAACACGUGAGUAACCUGCCCUUGACUCUGGGAUAACUGCGGGAAACUGUAGCUAAUACCGGAUACGACCCUCGGCGGCAUCGCCAGGGGGUGGAAAGAAUUUCGGUCAAGGAUGGACUCGCGGCCUAUCAGCUAGUUGGUGAGGUAACGGCUCACCAAGGCGACGCCGGGUAGCCGGCCUGAGAGGGUGGCCGGCCACACUGGGACUGAGACACGGCCCAGACUCCUACGGGAGGCAGCAGUGGGGAAUAUUGCACAAUGGGCGCAAGCCUGAUGCAGCAACGCCGCGUGAGGGAUGACGGCCUUCGGGUUGUAAACCUCUUUUAGUAGGGAAGAAGCGAAAGUGACGGUACCUGCAGAAAAAGCACCGGCUAACUACGUGCCAGCCGCCGCGGUAA